UGGUCCAUUUAACUGUCCAGUUGAAAUUUGACUUUUUGCAUUGACCACUUUUGAGAAAAUCCAAUUAUGCACCAUGAAAGUACAUGUCAAAUGGAGUUUGUGCAUAUAAAGAACUUGCAAUUUGGACAAACCAUGUGGAAGUUAUGGCCUCCUGAUUAUGGGUCAUUUUUGAAAUUCACUGGACCAUAACUUGACAACCAUACAUGGGAUUUUCAAGUUCUUGGACUUUUUGGAAAGGUGAGAACAAGAU
rnacentral:lncRNA from 1 species